rnacentral:piRNA from 1 species
UGAGAAUCAAAGAUGGGACCUUGC